rnacentral:rRNA from 1 species
GACGAACGCUGGCGGCGUGCCUAAUACAUGCAAGUAGAACGCUGAAGGAGGAGCUUGCUUCUCUGGAUGAGUUGCGAACGGGUGAGUAACGCGUAGGUAACCUGCCUGGUAGCGGGGGAUAACUAUUGGAAACGCUAGCUAAUACCGCAUAAUAUUUGAUGUUGCAUGACAUUUGCUUAAAAGGUGCAAUUGCAUUACUACCAGUUGGACCUGCUUUGUCUUAGUUAGUUGGUGGGGUAACGGCUCACAAAGGCGACGAUGCAUAGCCGACCUGGGAGGGGGUUGGCCACACUGGGACUGGGAAAAGGCCCAGAAUCCUAAGGGAGGGAGCAGUAGGGAAACUUCGGGAAUGGGGGGAAGGCUGAACGGAGAAAGGCGGCGGGGGGAAGAAGGGUCUCGGAUCGGAAAGAUCUGUUGAAAGGGAAGAAAGAGAGGGGGAAUGGAAAAUGCACGCUGUGACGGUAUCUAACCAGAAAGGGACGGCUAACUACGUG